rnacentral:rRNA from 1 species
AGAGUUUGAUCAUGGCUCAGAUUGAACGCUGGCGGCAGGCCUAACACAUGCAAGUCGAGCGGUAGCACAGAGAGCUUGCUCUCGGGUGACGAGCGGCGGACGGGUGAGUAAUGUCUGGGAAACUGCCUGAUGGAGGGGGAUAACUACUGGAAACGGUAGCUAAUACCGCAUAAUGUCGCAAGACCAAAGUGGGGGACCUUCGGGCCUCAUGCCAUCAGAUGUGCCCAGAUGGGAUUAGCUUGUAGGUGGGGUAACGGCUCACCUAGGCGACGAUCCCUAGCUGGUCUGAGAGGAUGACCAGCCACACUGGAACUGAGACACGGUCCAGACUCCUACGGGAGGCAGCAGUGGGGAAUAUUGCACAAUGGGCGCAAGCCUGAUGCAGCCAUGCCGCGUGUGUGAAGAAGGCCUUCGGGUUGUAAAGCACUUUCAGCGGGGAGGAAGGCGAUAAGGUUAAUAACCUUGUCGAUUGACGUUACCCGCAGAAGAAGCACCGGCUAACUCCGUGCCAGCAGCCGCGGUAAUACGGAGGGUGCAAGCGUUAAUCGGAAUUACUGGGCGUAAAGCGCACGCAGGCGGUCUGUCAAGUCGGAUGUGAAAUCCCCGGGCUUAACCUGGGAACUGCAUUCGAAACUGGCAGGCUAGAGUCUUGUAGAGGGGGGUAGAAUUCCAGGUGUAGCGGUGAAAUGCGUAGAGAUCUGGAGGAAUACCGGUGGCGAAGGCGGCCCCCUGGACAAAGACUGACGCUCAGGUGCGAAAGCGUGGGGAGCAAACAGGAUUAGAUACCCUGGUAGUCCACGCCGUAAACGAUGUCGAUUUGGAGGUUGUGCCCUUGAGGCGUGGCUUCCGGAGCUAACGCGUUAAAUCGACCGCCUGGGGAGUACGGCCGCAAGGUUAAAACUCAAAUGAAUUGACGGGGGCCCGCACAAGCGGUGGAGCAUGUGGUUUAAUUCGAUGCAACGCGAAGAACCUUACCUGGUCUUGACAUCCACAGAACUUAGCAGAGAUGCUUUGGUGCCUUCGGGAACUGUGAGACAGGUGCUGCAUGGCUGUCGUCAGCUCGUGUUGUGAAAUGUUGGGUUAAGUCCCGCAACGAGCGCAACCCUUAUCCUUUGUUGCCAGCGGUUCGGCCGGGAACUCAAAGGAGACUGCCAGUGAUAAACUGGAGGAAGGUGGGGAUGACGUCAAGUCAUCAUGGCCCUUACGACCAGGGCUACACACGUGCUACAAUGGCAUAUACAAAGAGAAGCGACCUCGCGAGAGCAAGCGGACCUCAUAAAGUAUGUCGUAGUCCGGAUUGGAGUCUGCAACUCGACUCCAUGAAGUCGGAAUCGCUAGUAAUCGUAGAUCAGAAUGCUACGGUGAAUACGUUCCCGGGCCUUGUACACACCGCCCGUCACACCAUGGGAGUGGGUUGCAAAAGAAGUAGGUAGCUUAACCUUCGGGAGGGCGCUUACCACUUUGUGAUUCAUGACUGGGGUGAAGUCGUAACAAGGUAACCGUAGGGGAACCUGCGGUUGGAUCACCU